rnacentral:rRNA from 1 species
GACGUAGGGCGCGAGCGUUGUCCGGAUUUAUUGGGCGUAAAGAGCUCGUAGGCGGCUUGUCGCGUCGACUGUGAAAACCCGAGGCUCAACUUCGGGCUUGCAGUCGAUACGGGCAGGCUAGAGUUCGGUAGGGGAGACUGGAAUUCCUGGUGUAGCGGCGAAAUGCGCAGAUAUCAGGAGGAACACCGAUGGCGAAGGCAGGUCUCUGGGCCGAUGACUGACGCUGAGGAGCGAAAGCGUGGGGAGCGAACAGG